GAUGAACGCUAGCGGCAGGCUUAAUACAUGCAAGUCGUGGGGCAGCAUGAAUGUAGCAAUACGUUUGAUGGCGACCGGCAAACGGGUGCGGAACACGUACACAACCUUCCUAUAAGUGGGGAAUAACCCAGAGAAAUUUGGAUUAAUACCCCGUAACAUAAUGAUGUGGCAUCACAUUAUUAUUAUAGCUACGGCGCUUAUUGAUGGGUGUGCGGAUGAUUAGAUAGUUGGCGGGGUAACGGCCCACCAAGUCUACGAUCAGUAGCUGAUGUGAGAGCAUGAUCAGCCACACGGGCACUGAGACACGGGCCCGACGCCUGGGGAAGGCAGCAGUAAGGAAUAUUGGUCAAAGGAGGCAAGUUUGAACCAGCCAGGCCGCGUGAAGGAUUAAGGUCCUCUGGAUUGUAAACUUCUUUAAUCUGGGACGAAAAAAGGCGAUUCUUCGUCACUUGACGGUACCAGAUGAAUAAGCACCGGCUAACUCCGUGCCAGCAGCCGCCGUAACAC
rnacentral:rRNA from 1 species